GUGAAGAACUAAUAGUGAAAUGACUAAAAGGCCAUUACAGGGUAUGUGCACGCUGCUGACUGCAUUAGCUUGCUGUUUUCUUAGUGUUGAGUACUCAUCUUCUCACAGGUAGAAGUAAGGGAAGAGUUCCAGAGAGUUGAAUUUUCUGUCACUUUCACUGGGUAGUCCUGUAUCUACUGUGUAGCUACACUACGUGUAGCCCUGCUCUGAUGGAAGGCCUCAACUCUUACAUUACUCACAGAGUUAGAUUAGUAGUUUGAGGUCAUAAACUAGCAAGAAAAGUUCCUCCCCUAGAAAAAAAACAUACAGAGGAAGUAUUUCAGGGCCUGGGGGGAGGCAGGCUGGUCCUGCGGGAAUUGUUAACUUCCUGGGUCUGCUCAGAUACUCUGGAACAAAAACACACAAAAGCAAGACACCAAGGGAAUUUUUCCCUGAACGUUUCUGAGCACGUAGGGAAAUACAGUAACUGUGAAGCAAGCUUUGCAUACCUACAGCAGGAUCGAGCCUGAAGGCUGUCUGUUGGGCAAGCUCUGAGCAGCAGCCUGUCCUUUUAAAUGAAAACUUUUCUCAUGGAAACUCUUCUAUGAUUUCUAGUACAGCAGUGCACAAAUUUUACUGCUCGUGCUUAUGUAUGUGAGGCAAACAAAAACAAGUACACAGUUUUCACUGCCACUGCUGUGUGGUGACUGCUCAGACUGCAUAGCAUACAUUCAUAUCUAGAAACAGAGAUAAUCUUUAAAAUGGAAGGACACGGGUAACUUUCUAGUCAACAAAGCCCUUACAUAAGUCCUUUUUAAGUGCACGUUUGAAUGUCUGAGGAGUUAGACUAUGCCUGUAUUUAAUGCGCACAUGCCAUGCUGCAUCGAGCCUUAAAUUUCUGACUCCCAGUAGGUUUAUUGACUGUUUAUGCUCAACAUGCUGCAGAGUAAACAGAGCCAAAUCUCUGCAGCCAGUAAGCUGACCUGAAGUGUGUGAAUGACCCUGACUGCAGCAUGGGAUGGGGCACAGUGGUGUGAGAAGGGGAACCUCAAACACUGGGUGCAGAGCAUCUGAAUCACAAUGGCUGACCUGGUGAAGAGUGAGUCAUCUAAGGACAUUUCGGAAGGAGCUGCUGUUCCUCUGCAAGAAGCCAUUUUGAGGGGCGGAAAAAGCUAGUAUUUAGUAGCAACAUUUCAUAGCUCACUGCAUGUAGAAGAUCCCUUUUCUAAUUAGCUGUACCUAAAGCUACCUGUGUGCGUUGGCACGGAGUAUGGAGGGCAGAUGAGUGAGCGGAUGUGUUUCAGGAGUUUAUUGUCACUUAUGUGCCAACACAAGGAAACUCACUUCCUUAAAAGACAUCUGAAUAAAAUUCAAGUGUGUAAGUGGUAAAAAUUACUGAGCUCAACGCACAUCCCUGGGGAGUUGUUUUUAUAAAAGCUGAUGUGGGCAAUUCUGGUUUCACUUCCCCUCUUGGAUACACAAAAUAAGUCAACUCAUGACAAUAAUAUGGGCAGAGAUCAGAGAUUUUUCUUUUUCCUUAGAACCUAUAGGAGUACCCUAUCAUAUCCAUGUGCUGCUUCUACAAGUGCUCAGUUUGCCAAUAUCCAUCAUCUUGUAAAGAACAUCACAAUGCAAAAGAUUGAAUUGUAUUGGCAGCUUCCCAGCAACAAAGGGUGCCUGUGUUCAACAUAAAAUUGUGUUAUAUUGACUGACCAUUUAGAGGUUUUACUAGAAAAGUGCUUAACUUCAGGCAUACCCUGCCUUUGGAUACACUUCCUUAAUGCUGUACUGUGGACACUGGGCAACUAUUACACAUUCUGCUUCCCCAGCACCAGUGCAAACCAGUAAGAAAUUAGCAUGUGUCCCCAGUUUGCUGGCAGCAGACUUUCCCUCUGAGUUCUUUACACGGGUAGUAGUGUGGUGAAACUGCCACAUGUGAGUUUGCAUGAAUCUGCUCAAUUCAAUAUGCUAUUCUGUUAAUUUUAAGAGUUCCAAGAAGCAUUUCUGUAUCCUGUUUCAUUGUUCAACAUUACCUUGUAUGAAUUAGGUAGAUAGAAAUAAUUGCAGUAUGGUACUCAAGUGUUAAUGAAUGAAAUACUUGGAGCUAAUGUUGCACUGAAACUGAGCUGACUCAGUUGUAUAAACUGG
ensembl:lncRNA